AACGUAGGUCACGAGCGUUGUCCGGAAUUACUGGGUGUAAAGGGAGCGCAGGCGGGUAUGCAAGUUGGGAGUGAAAUACAUGGGCUCAACCCAUGAACUGCUCUCAAAACUGUGUAUCUUGAGUAGUGCAGAGGUAGGCGGAAUUCCCGGUGUAGCGGUGGAAUGCGUAGAUAUCGGGAGGAACACCAGUGGCGAAGGCGGCCUGCUGGGCACCAACUGACGCUGAGGCUCGAAAGUGUGGGUAGCAAACGGG
rnacentral:rRNA from 1 species